rnacentral:rRNA from 1 species
AUUGAACGCUGGCGGCAUGCCUUACACAUGCAAGUCGAACGGUGACGGGCCUUCGGGUGCCGACGAGUGGCGAACGGGUGAGUAAUACAUCGGAACGUGCCCGAUCGUGGGGGAUAACGAGGCGAAAGCUUUGCUAAUAACGCAUACGAUCUACGGAUGAAAGCAGGGGACCGCAAGGACUGGCGCGGACGGGGCGGCCGAUGGCAGAUUAGGUAGUUGGUGGGAUAAAAGCUUACCAAGCCGACGAUCUGUAGCUGGUCUGAGAGGAUGAUCAGCCACACUGGGACUGAGACACGGCCCAGACUCCUACGGGAGGCAGCAGUGGGGAAUUUUGGACAAUGGGCGCAAGCCUGAUCCAGCCAUGCCGCGUGCAGGAUGAAGGCCUUCGGGUUGUAAACUGCUUUUGUACGGAACGAAAAUCCUUCUUUUAAUACAGGAGGGUCAUGACGGUACCGUAAGAAUAAGCACCGGCUAACUACGUG